rnacentral:rRNA from 1 species
UCGCCCUUCCUACGGGGGGCAGCAGUCGAGAAUAUUGGGCAAUGGGGGAAACCCUGACCCAGCGACGCUGCGUGGGUGAAGAAGGACUUCGGUCUGUAAAGCCCUUUUAUGGAGGAUGAACCUUCGGGUGACCGUACUCCAGAAUAAGGGAUUGCUAACUCUGUGCCAGCAGCCGCGGUAAUA